UACGUAGGGGGCAAGCGUUGUCCGGAAUCAUUGGGCGUAAAGCGUGCGCAGGCGGUUUUGUAAGUCUGUCGUGAAAUCCCCGGGCUCAACCUGGGAAUUGCGAUGGAGACUGCAAGGCUAGAAUCUGGCAGAGGGGGGUAGAAUUCCACGUGUAGCAGUGAAAUGCGCAGAGAUGUGGAGGAACACCGAUGGCGAAGGCAGCCCCCUGGGUCAAGAUUGACGCUCAUGCACGAAAGCGUGGGGAGCAAACAGG
rnacentral:rRNA from 1 species